rnacentral:rRNA from 1 species
GAUGAACGCUGGCGGCGUGCCUAAUACAUGCAAGUCGAGCGAACGGACGAGAAGCUUGCUUCUCUGAUGUUAGCGGCGGACGGGUGAGUAACACGUGGAUAACCCACCUAUAAGACUGGGAUAACUUCGGGAAACCGGAGCUAAUACCGGAUGAUAUUUUGAACCGCAUGGUUCAAAAGUGAAAGACGGUCUUGCUGUCACUUAUAGAUGGAUCCGCGCUGCAUUAGCUAGUUGGUAAGGUAACGGCUUACCAAGGCAACGAUGCAUAGCCGACCUGAGGGUGAUCGGCCACACUGGAACUGAGACACGGUCCAGACUCCUACGGGAGGCAGCAGUAGGGAAUCUUCCGCAAUGGGCGAAAGCCUGACGGAGCAACGCCGCGUGAGUGAUGAAGGUCUUCGGAUCGUAAAACUCUGUUAUUAGGGAAGAACAUAUGUGUAAGUAACUGUGCACAUCUUGACGGUACCUAAUCAGAAAGCCACGGCUAACUACGUG